rnacentral:rRNA from 1 species
ACUCAAAGGAAUUGACGGGGGCCCGCACAAGCAGUGGAGUAUGUGGUUUAAUUCGAAGCAACGCGAAGAACCUUACCAGGGCUUGACAUGUAUCUGAAUUAUAUAGAGAUAUAUAAGUCUUCGGACAGAUAUACAGGUGGUGCAUGGUUGUCGUCAGCUCGUGUCGUGAGAUGUUGGGUUAAGUCCCGCAACGAGCGCAACCCCUGUUGUUAGUUGCUAACAAGUAAUGUUGAGAACUUUAACAAGACUGCCGGUGAUAAAUCGGAGGAAGGUGGGGACGACGUCAAAUCAUCAUGCCCUUUAUGUCCUGGGCUACACACGUACUACAAUGGCUAUUACAGAGUGAAGCGAAGCAGUGAUGCAGAGCGAAACACAAAAGGUAGUCUCAGUUCGGAUUGUAGGCUGAAAUUCGCCUACAUGAAGCCGGAAUUGCUAGUAAUUGCAGGUCAGCAUACUGCAGUGAAUACGUUCCCGGGCCUUGUACACACCGCCCGU